GCGCCAGUGUCAACCAUACCUAGUAUAUUUUGAGAAAAUAUUUUAAACUUCACAAAUGAUUGUAAAUCAUCUGAGGGAAGGUAAGAAAAAACGGCGUAGCAAAAUUGUCUUCAGUAGCUUAAGCCAAGUUUCCAAAAGCGACAUAUAUGGACUGCUUAGGUCUUUUGUGAAUUGGAGAAGUAGAUAAAGAUUCAUGAAAAAUUCUGGCUCUAACUUUAUUAUAAUCUCACAGCCAUGUAGGGAAGAUUUGGAUUAAUCGGGUGUUUUUCGGAUGCGAUUUUCAAGCUCUCGAAUGUGCAAUUUUUGACGAAAGGAGUGAAAAUUUUCUGAAAAAGAAAAAAAAGUUGAAAAUUAACAGAAAGGAUUGUUCAACGUUCUAUACACAAGGAAUAAAACAUGAAGUACCCAAGAAAUCAAGCUUUCUUCAAAAAAAUUAAGUAUAAAAACAGACUUUGAAAUUUGUGUGUAAAUUGUAUUUACAAAAGCCAAUUUGGACGUGGGAUCUAAGCAACGGAAAAAGAAAAGUGGAGAUGAAGAAGAAAAGAUGAUUGCUGAAUUUUGGCUAUAUGCAGUUCUGGUGGUUUUGCUUUUUUUUAACCACUGGAGAUGUGAAAUAAAUGAAGUUUAGAUCUAAUUGAUAAAACGAGAAACAAAGAAAUUAGUAAAAAUAACUUAAAACUUAACAAAGUAAAAAGUCAAAGUGGCCUUUUUGUGUAAAUUAAUCGGUUGAUCUAGAAAACGACAGACAUGAAUGAAACUAAUGUGCAGAAAAUUUUAUUAAAAAGAUAUAAACGAUGACCAUGAAAGAGUGCAGUAAACUUUAAGCCCUUAGGUAACAUGUUCAUGAGUAAUUGAAUGUAAAAACACUCUGACCGUCAUUUAACUUUGAUCUGCGGUGUCGAGUAGAAAAACAAAAGAAGAAAAUACACAGAAGAAAAGAAAGAAGAGGAAGAAUUGAUAGUGUUUCCAAGUUCGUAGACAUUCAGAAAUCUCUUCAAACAGACACAUGGUGAACAUUAUGAAAACAGCAAAAACAAUAGUGUUAUCUAUAUACAGUGGCACUUACAAUUUUGCAUAUUAAAAAUAAAGUAAAAUUUUGAAUAAAAAAUACACCUAAAAGUUUUUUAACACUGAAAAAAAAGAAAACGUCAUUUGAAAGUGAAGAAGUGUGCAAGCGAUAAAAAUGCAUUCCUAUGUAAAUUGUAACCGAUUUUUAUUAGAAAGCAGUUUUAUUGUGAUCAGCGGUAUACAACAAAUAAAGCUAUCCCGCGACGCAGAAAAUUUAUAUAGGCUAGAAAGAAUAAAGACGUACGAGAAUUGAAGCGGUAUGAGCCGGCGCAUUAGGACUAUUCCAAGUUUUACUUAAAUUCGAAAAAGCCAAUUGUGUUCCGUUAGCAUUAUUGAUGAGCGACUAUAGUAUAGAUAUACGUACACUGUUUAUAGCUGAUUUUGAUUGUAUGGCCGGUAAAUUUGUUUUACUUGUUCACUUGACUCAGCUUCAUCUCCUGGAAUAUGACCUAAUGUAGCAGUUUCCAUCACAUCUUUAUGCCUGCUAACGCUUCGGCUAAAUUUUGGAAUAUGCUUCUUUCCAAAUGUCGACAUUCAAGCAGAUUGUACGGCUUCAACUUCUUGGACUAACAGAGUUUGCCGCAUGUGGGACACUCUUGCCUAUCAUUCAAGCACAUUGCAAGGCAUUCAUUGCGCAACAAAUGAUUGCAUAAUGUCUCAAUAGCUUGACACUUCUGAAAACGCAUUGUCCCACGCAACAAUCAAUCAAUUUAAUCUGACCGAUUAGAAUUAGCUCCAGAAAAUUAUGUCAUAUUUAGUCGUUAAUUAACUGCGGUAAUAAGAUUAAAAAUAAAUUGGAUGAUUUAUGUAAGGCUGUAAGAAAUAUAGAAACAAAGGCCAGGAAAAGAAAUAAAAAUUUAAAAAAAAAAACGAAAACAAACGAAUUGUACUUUAGAGUAUUAUGAUAACAUAGUGUGCUUGACGGUAUAGUAUGUCAUUAAUUUAUGUUAUAAAUUUCACCAGUUAUUGAUUAUGAAUAUAUUAUUAAUCAGUCACCGAAAAUAAGAUUAUUAAAUAAACCAAGAAAAAAAACGAAAAUAAAAAACGCCAAUUACGCAAAAAGAACAAAAUUAAAAGUGAAUUAAACUGAGAGGGAUUCCUUAAUGGUAAGUUAGAGAGCAGCUUUCGUCCAAAUUAUUGAUUCUCUUUUCAGAUGAUCAUAAAGUUCAACCUAACAUUAACAAGGGAUCAUCAUAAUAGUGGACAGCGUGAGCAUGUUGAUUGCUUCGUAACCAUAGUUCCAAAGCUAUUCAGGAGUGAACCCGGCAUGUCAGCUUCCCUAAACAAUUUUCAAUUCAUCACUGCACUGAACAACAAAAAAUAGGUAAACUGAGAAAAAAGUGGUUUGACUAUGACAAGUUGACUAAAAUAAACAACUCCAGGUUGUAUUUAUUCAGUUCUCCAACUUUUGUAUCUAUUCCACAAGAAAAAGUUGUCCAUAGGUAAAUUCAAAAAUUAUUCAUAUGAAGAUCACCACAUAUUCCCACAAACCAAAAGAACGAACGGCGAAAUAGUUAUUGGGUAACAUCUCAAAAGUCUGAUAUUAUCAGUUAGAAAACCAGAGUCGGUUAGAGCUUGUAAAGGAUAAACGCACAGGUCAUUGUAAAGCUAGCUAAUUCGGCAGUAAGUGGGAGUUUCACUUUCCAUCCAACGAACACCUCACAGACGGUUGCACUCAAGAAACGCACGAGCAGAGCAGAGACGUCACA